CCUACGGGUGGCAGCAGUGGGGAAUAUUGCUCAAUGGGCGAAAGCCUGAAGCAGCGACGCCGCGUGAGGGAUGAAGGUCCUCGGAUCGUUAACCUCUUUUAGUAUGGAAGAACGGUCACUGUGCUAUUCAGCAGUGAAUUGACGGUACCUGCAAAGUAAGCACAGGCUAACUCCGUCCCAGGGGCCGCGGUAAUACGGAGGGUUCUAGCGUUAAUCGGUAUUACUGGGCUUAAAGCGCUCGUGUGUGGUAUGUAAAGUCAAGGGUGAAAGCCGCGGGCUAAACGUGGGAACUGCCUUUGAUACUGGAAGACUGGAGUGAGUGAGAGGAGAGUGGAAUUCGCGGUGUAGGAGUGAAAUGCGUAGAUAUCAGGAGGAACACCGGUGGCGAAGGCGACUAUCUGGAACAUAACUGACGCUGAGGAGCGAAAGCGUGGGUAGCAAACAGGAUUAGAUACCCGGGUAGUC
rnacentral:rRNA from 1 species